GCUGCAAAACGUUCUAUCGCUUCGGGCUUGUACCGGAGAGGAAAGUCCGGGCAACACAGAGCAUCCUGCUUCCUAACGGGAAGGCGCCGGCAGCCGGCGACAGCAAGUGCCACAGAGAAUAUACCGCCACUAAUUUAUUAGUGGUAAGGGUGAAAACGUGAGGUAAGAGCUCACGGCUUUUCCGGGCAACCGGGAUCGCGGUAAACCUCAGGAGUUGAAAAACCAAAUAGGUUCUGAAAGUGAAGCUGCUCGCUUCCGUAUCCGCAAGGGUCGUCAGAAUGGGUAGGUUGAUAAAGCAUACCGGCGACGGUAUGAUCAGAGAUUAAUGAUAGAAAUCUCCGCAAGGAGAUACAGAACCCGGCUUACAGAUUUGCUGCUGUU
rnacentral:RNase_P_RNA from 1 species